GAGAACUGAGGGGGGCUGCUCCUAGUACGAGAGGACCGGAGUGGACGCAUCACUGGUGUUCGGGUUGUCAUGCCAAUGGCACUGCCCGGUAGCUAAAUGCGGAAGAGAUAAGUGCUGAAAGCAUCUAAGCACGAAACUUGCCCCGAGAUGAGUUCUCCCUGACUCCUUGAGAGUCCUGAAGGAACGUUGAAGACGACGACGUUGAUAGGCCGGGUGUGUAAGCGCAGCGAUGCGUUGAGCUAACCGGUACUAAUGAACCGUGAGGCUUAACCUUACAACGCCGAAGCUGUU
rnacentral:rRNA from 1 species